GAGGUCAAAUUGUCAAUAUUUUGUCCCUAGGAACAACAUUUAGAAGCAAGAUCCUCCCACUAAGGAUAUGUUCAGGUCAUGGUUUGACCAGACCCGUCAAAGCUACAUAGUAGCAUAGGGCAGGUACAGGAAUAUGACAUUGCACACACCAGUGCAUCAAGCCUCCCACAACUGGAAGACGAGCUCUGAUGCUGCUUGCUCUCGUGAGCGCUCCUAAGAACGCCUCGCUUCGUCAACCUGAAGUAUUCAACACCAUUCAGACGAGUCAACAUCUGUGCCAAAGCUGGUGCUUCAAAGAGGUUGAGCGAACACUUGUGGACAAAUAGAUAUCCCAAGCGGAGCCUGAACCACUGACUCCCAAUGGUAUAGAUAAUUAUCAUACCAAUGAUGGUCAGCAAGGAUUUUGCUAAUACAUUUAAGAAGAGCUGAUCUCGCAAGAAGCCAGCAGCUUCCACAAUCCAAGCCUGGCUAGCUCAUGUAAAAGCCAGAAAGGUUGAGAAUUUCAUGACACUCAAACAGGCAUGCUCCUCGGAAUACCAAGGAGCGCAAGGUGCGUUCAAAGAUUCGAUGAUUCACUGAAUUCUGCAAUUCACAUUACUUAUCGCAUUUCGCUGCGUUCUUCAUCGAUGCGAGAGCCAAGAGAUCCGGUGGUUGAAAGUUGUAUUAUAUUUUUUAAAAAGGCACAGAAGGCCCAUAAUUACAUUNCAUGACCUGGUACAGAGUAUAUGUAA
rnacentral:misc_RNA from 1 species